rnacentral:snRNA from 1 species
UUGCUUGGGCAGUACAUAUACUAAAUGUAUACAGAGAAGAUUAGUAUAGCUCCUGUCCAAGGAUGCCACACAAAUUCAUGAAAUGCUCCAUAUGAAA